CGAAUAUCCCACUAGAAGCAUGUUGAUGUAAUUUGAUACUUUCCCCACACCCCCUCAGGCGCUAAAUUUUUGAUGAAGCACGUGACCAGCCGCAGCCAGGGUCUUUCCCAAAGAAAGAUCCUGGGUACGAGGUUGAGAUAGAGCAAGUCUAGUAAACACGGAGUGGAUAGCUUGUACUUGUAAUUAUUGAAGUAUUUCAGUUGUUUCGGCAGUUUUUAUUGACAUUUUUCAGGAAAAUUAGCAGUAUGGUACCCUACUUCCCGUCACCCCCCGCCCGCAUCAAUGAAAAUGCCUAUCACUUUCAAAAGUACAAAAUGCCAAAUGGCGUGAUCUACCCACUCAAUUCGAGUACACAAACGGCUUCAUGUACCCGCUUAACUCUUUCUCAACCGGCCCCUAUUUGAUAUUUUACUAUUUAAGAGGCAAUUUUUUUCAAUGAAAAGUGUAAUGAAAAGUGUUCAAAACCUAAAAUCUUUUUGGCGUUCCUCUCAAAUUACUUUGUUUUAGCGUUAUUCUCCAGCUUAUAGAGUUAGCUACCUUUUUAAAUGCAUCUGCCGGUUGAGAAACACAAAAUAAUAGUUAAAAAUUGUCAAUUAAAACACAACUAUCAAUGAUGCUUUAAAAUUGACGCCAUAUUUACAGCCAUAUAAGCAAAACUUACUGAACUUCAGACAUCAUUUUCUCUUUGGCGUAUCAUCUAUAAUCUCAUCAUUUUGGCAUUAUUUUACAGAUAAGGCACUAAACAUACUUUUUAAGUUUGUUUGCCGAUUGAGAAACGUAUCGAAAAAUAAAAAUUUUGAAUUUAGUCAUAAC